GCAAUCUAACACUUCCUAAGUGUGCAUGCAACCCUAAUAAACCUUGGAUCUAUGUUUGUCUAAAUACAUGCAAAAUAAUAAUUUUUCCAAGGUUUAUAACCUAUCUAACAUGGCAUGGGGAACAUUUCAACAUAAAAGAGUUAGAAGAGAUUACAUACCUUUGUUGUGUUGGGUUCUUAGGAGUUUGAGGGCCAAGCACCAAUAGUGUGAAUGCCUCAAAUGGAAUCACAAACACCACAAACUCUUGGAAAACUUUGAGAGAGUAUACACACUCUUGUAUUUUCGGCCACACACAUGCACACACACACUAGAACACUAGCUUUCUCUUAGGCUAUCUUAGGCUCUCUUUCAUGCUCCAUAAGCAUGCUUAUAUAGUAUGCAUGGUUAGGGUGAAACCCUAAUAACCCAUGUCUUUUCCUAUUCCAAGGAUCCAUGGGUUAAAAGCUCCAUGGAUCAUCCAUGGACUUCCACAUAAGCCUAGCCCAUUAACAAAUGAGUAUUAGCCCACACUAUAUAAAACAAAUAGCCCAUAAUUUAAUUAGUAUUCCUUUUAAUCUCUAAAUUAAUCCAUAAUUAAUUUAAGACUAAAACUAAUUAAAUAACGUAACUUCAUAUUAAUAUAUUAUAACUCAUAAUAUAUUAAUAAACAUAUGUGUAUAACUCUCAUAAAAUUAUCCAUAAUAGUUUGGAUGAGAUGCAACCCAAAUGGACCAUGCCGGUCGGGUCAAGUAUAUACCAAAUAAGUUAUGGACUUAGACACCUUAUCCAACAGACUCCCACUUGGAUAAGUCUAAUAACUAUAUUUGCCUAUAACUUCAGGAACCAACCAACAAUCGUAGCUCUCGAAAACUCCCUCGAACAAUGAAGACUCUGUCGAACUAUGAAGCGCCAUUUUAGAUAAGUGAUCACAUAAUCCUCUGUUCUCAUGAUAUCAGCCGGACAAACACAUGGAACUAUGUCUUGCUUAUUGUCUAGCAGUUGUUUCUCGAUUAUCCGAUUUGUUUGACGAAGAACUUCACUGAACACAUCGGUUUAGUUCUGACCAGGCCUGGUAUAUGGGUCAACACAAAAUCAUCGAGGGGCCCGGAUAUCGCUUCUAUUUCUAGAAGGAACAGAUAAACUUCGACUGAUAUGCUUGUUCUACUACUUAUUGAAUUGUACACAAAGGCACGUUUUAUAACAUCAAGUUACUGAUGCGUUUACGUGCAAUCAAUGCACAACCAACUCAUAGGUAACAACUCAUAUCUCUAGGUUUAAAGAUUUAUAUGAUGUUAUCGUCUCACGAUCACUCGAGAUAAAUUCCAUGAAGUGAUACAAGUGAGCGUGGGUUUAUACCAAUACUCAUAACUUAUGAGUACUCAUGAAUGUUGCAGCAACCAUUGCCAUGCCUAAACACCUUUAAGGCAUCUACAAACCCAAUUCAUGACAAUCUUGAUUCAUACCUACUUCCGACGUAUGAUCGAUUGUGGAGGUUUGAACAAAUUAAUUAUUCUGGAAGUCAAAACAUGCAAAACUGAAACAAUAGUAAAUAAUUGACAAUGAUAGUAACACUUUACUCAUAAAUAAAUCACAAAUUUUAUUCAUCAUCAAACGUCGAUUACAUUUUACAAGUUUCAGGAAAACUAUCUAAUCUGUAAAACUAAUAUCGUCCCUCAGCCCGAUGCGUCUCGCAUGCUGAAAAUGCUUAACCCUCGUCAGUCCCUUCGUAAGGGGAUCUGCAGGAUUCUCAUCUGACGAUAUCCUCCUUGUCACAAGGAGUCCUUCUUCAAUCUUGUGCCUUAUGAAGUGAUAUUUUCUGUCAAUGUGUCGGGAUCUGCCAUGAUCUCUUGGUUCCUUGGCUAAGAUAACCGCAGCAUUGUUGUCACAGAAAAUCUCUAUAGGUUCCUUAAUAGCUGGUACAACUCCAAGGUCUCCGAUGAAGUUCUUUAGCCAUAUCGCCUCCUUCGCUGCUUCACUCGCUGCUAUAUACUCUGAUUCACAAGUCGAAUCAGCCACCGUCUCCUGCUUGGAACUCUUCCAAGAAAUUGCCCCUCCAUUUAAGGUAAAGAUCCAGCCCGACUGAGAGCGGAAAUUAUCCCUAUCAGUCUGAAAACCAGCAUCACUAUACCCUAAUAUUCUCAAGUCAUCACUGCCACCAAGGGUAAGGACCCAAUCCUUAGUCCUCCGCAGGUACUUGAGAAUGUUCUUUACCGCGGUCCAAUGAGCCUUGCCAGGGUUCCCCUGAUACCUGCUGACCAUGCUCAAAGCAAAUGCCACAUCAGGACGGGUACAAGUCAUAGCAUACAUGAUCGAGCCAACUGCGGAAGCAUAUGGUAAUUGGCUCAUCUCAGCUAUCUCAGCCUCUGUACUCGGACUCUGAGUCUUACUCAGUUUGGUAUUGCUUUGGAUCGGUAAAUCUCCUUUCUUGGAAUUCUCCAUGUUGAACCUUUUCAACACCUUAUCCAAGUAGAUACUCUGACUAAGUCCAAUUAGUCUUCUACUCCUUUCUCUUAAUAUCCUUAUCCCUAGGAUAUAGGUAGCCUCCCCUAGGUCCUUCAUAGCAAAGCACUUCCCAAGCCAGGACUUAACCUCCUGCAAGGUUGGGAUGUCAUUUCCUAUGAGUAGUAUGUCAUCCACAUACAGUACCAAGAAGCUAACUAUACUCCCACUAGCUCUGACAUACACGCAAGACUCAUCUUCGCUUCUCAAGAAGCCAAACUCUUUUACCUUCUCAUCAAAACAAAGAUUCCAGCUACGAGAUGCUUGUUUUAAUCCAUAAAUGGAUUUCUUAAGCUUGCAUACUCUAUUAGGGUACUCUGCAUUGACAAAACCCUCUGGCUGAUUCAUGUACACAUCCUCAGCCAACUUUCCAUUAAGGAAAGCGGUUUUGACAUCCAUUUGCCAUAUUUCAUAAUCAUGAAAUGCUGCAAUGGCUAACAUAACCCUAAUAGACUUAAUCUUGGCCACCGGCGAGAAGGUUUCAUCAUAAUCAAUACCUUGAGUUUGAGUAAAACCCUUCGCAACCAGUCGAGCCUUAUAAGUAUGCACUUUUCCUUCCAUGUCGGUCUUCUUUUUGAAGAUCCAUUUGCACCCGACUGUUUUACGGCCUGGUACAUUGUCAACCAAGUUCCAAACUUGAUUGUCAUACAUGGACUGUAUCUCGCUGUCCAUAGCCUCCUUCCAUUUAGCAGACUCCGGGCCUGCCAUGGCUUCCUUAACACUGCUAGGUUCAUCCAAAUUUACUAGUGUACUAUCACUAAUAAACGUAUCACCUUCCGUAGUAAUAUGAAAACCAUAAUAAAACGAAGGUGUGUUCCUAACCCGUGUGGAACGUCUCGGAGGUACAGACUCGUCAGCUGGAUCAACAGGAGUUUCUUCCUCAGGUUGAUUGCUAGUGUCUGAGGUUCCUUCACCAAUUGAUUCUUGAAUUUCUUCAAGAUCAAUCUGCCUCCCACUGUCUCCUUGGCUUAUAAAUUCUUUCUCGCGAAAGAUCCCUCUUCGUGCUACAAAGACCACAUUCUCACUGGGUCUGUAGAAAAGGUAACCGAAGGAUUUCUGUGGGUAGCCGAUGAAAAUACACCUUUCACUUCGGGGUUCAAGCUUAUCAUGAGUUUCACGCCUCACGAAGGCUUCGCAACCCCAAAUUUUGAUGUGGUCCAAAUUGGGAACCUUCCCAGUCCACAUCUCAUGAGGUGUUUUGGUAACCUUCUUUGUAGGGACUAGAUUAAGGAUAUGGGCGGCAGUCUCUAAGGCAUACCCCCAAAAAGAGAUUGGUAACGAAACUCGACUCAUCAUAGAGCGAACCAUGUCCAACAAGGUACGAUUACGCCUCUCAGCUACACCAUUCAGCUGUGGUGUCCUGGGAGGAGUCAAUUGUGAGACAAUCCCACACUCCUUAAGAUAGUCAAGGAACUCGGUACUAAGAUACUCACCACCUCGAUCGGAUCGAAGCAUCUUAAUGUUCCUGCCCAAUUGAUUUUCUACUUCCUGUUUGAAUUCCUUAAACCUUUCAAAGGUUUCGGACUUGUGUUUGAUCAAGUAGACAUACCCAUAUCUACUAUAAUCAUCAAUAAAAGUCACAUAAUACCGAUUAGCGUCCCUUGUGGCGGUUUUGAAUGGCCCACAUACAUCAGUAUGUAUUAGGUCCAACAAACCUUCACCCCUCUCACAAGUUCCAGUGAAGGGUGAUUUUGUCAUUUUUCCAAGUAGACAAGAUUCACAACUAUCAUCUGAUUUGAGGUCAAAUGAUUCCAAGACUCCACUCUUUUGGAGUUGGUCUAUGCGUUUCUUGUUUACAUGUCCAAGACGACAAUGCCACAAUGAUGCUUUAUCUAGGCUAGUAGAAGAAUCAAUAUACAACACAUUAUUUCCUAAGUUGUCUACAAUCGACACAGUUUCAUACACGCCAUCACAAGGUAAUGCUUUAAAAUAAAACACAUUAUUAAAGAAAGCAUUAAUACCACCACAUUCAUUAUCAAACGAAAAGGUAAAACCUUGUUUGUACAAAGCAUGAAAAGAAAUAAUAUUCCUCGCCAUUUCAGACGAGUAUACACAUUUAUUCAAAUCUAAUUUUAACCCAUUAUUAAGCAACAAAGUAUAAACUCCAAUCUUGGAAACAGGUGAAGCCUUCCUAUUCCCCAUGAUUAAGUUUAUCUUCCCGUGCUCCACAUCCUCACUUCUUCUUAGGCCCUGCAAAUCAGAACAUAUGUGAAUACCACAUCCUGUAUCAAGCACCCAAGAGUUAGAAUAUGUUGAGUAAUUAGACAAUAUAGUGUAAAUACCUGCAUAGGUGGGUUUCACUUUCCCAUCCUUUAGAUCCUGCAAGUACUUAGGGCAGUUUCGCUUCCAGUGUGCCUUUUCAUGGCAAUAAAAGCAUUCAGCAUCCUUUGGAAUGGCAGAAGGAGUGACAGAACCGUUCUUAGUCUUGGAUGAGGAGCCUUCAAGAGACUUUCCCUUGGUACCCUUCGAAGGGUGCUUCCUCUUUUUCCCUUUGCCUUGCCCAAUAGCUAAAACAGGGGUAGAAGUUGGAGUAGGAGUAGUAGAGGUAACAACCGCUUUACCCUUAAGACCGGUUUCAGCGGUCUUCAAGAGUCCUUGAAGCUUGCUGAGGGUAACUUCCUCCUUGUUCAUAUGAUAUGUCAUUCGAAAAUGAUCAUAACAAGAAGGCAAGGAGUGCAAAAUGAUGUCAAUUGCUAACUCCUCGGGGAUGUUAACAUUCAGCUUCAGCAAACGGUCCACAUACCUUUGCAUCUUUUGCAUGUGGCCCGUGACGGAUUCACCGUCCUUCAUGCGGGUAGUUAUUAUGGAGGAGAUUAUUUCAUACCGCUCCUGACGAGCACUCUGAUGGUACCUUUCCAUCAAGUCUUGGUGCAUCUCAAAAGGGUAGAAAUCUUCAUAUGACUUUUGGAGCUCGGCUGUCAUCGUGGCCAUCAUGAUACAUGCCACCUUAGUAGCAUCUCUCUCAUGAGUCCUGAAUUCAGCGAUCUCCUCAGGAGUAGCAGUAGACUCAUCAAGUUCUUUUAACUCCUUAUCGAGGACAUAUUCCUUGUCCUCGUAACGAGUAACCAUCCUGAUGUUCCUAAUCCAAUCCAUGAAGUUGGAACCAUCAAAGAUGACCCUCCCACAAAGAUUCAUGAGAGAGAAAGAACCAGUUGGGUUAGAGCCUGAAGCAUUAGUGUUGGAAGACAUCUGAAAGAAGAAAGUAAGUUUAGAUUAGAUAUUUAGGAUCCUUAAUAAGACACCCAAAUGUAAUAUUAAGGCUAGGAUCCAAUCACAAUAUAUUACACUUAGAAGAGGGAUGCCGUAAUCUAAGUAAUAAUAUAUUUGAAAGGUAGGCGAAUGACGAUUCACCAAUUUCCACCAUGAAAACGAAAUGAUUAAUUAGGUUUAAUUGGAUUUGAAAUUCCUAGAUUCUUUUGAGAUUCAUUGAACUUUUCAAUGGCAUGUUUCAAUCUCGAUUGUGCCCUUCAAGUUUUGUGACUGGGAUGCCGAGGAUCACAAAACAAGGUGUGAAUAACCAUGCUAACUCACUUGGUACUCCUAAUAUUAUCACCUAAUCAAUGUGCCGGUUAACCACACACGCUCCAUUGAUCUAUGACAACAUUAAGUUACCCUUCGUGAUCCUUACUAGUCUAAUUAGUGUGCCGGUUAACCACACACGCUCCACUAACGACUUGGUAAGGUACAAAGUGUGAAUUCCAUGGAUUAGCACCAUGUUCACAUUUUCCUAAAAUAACUAAGAUUGGGAAUUAAAAGAGUUUAGUUAUUUUAUAAUAUUCAUUAUACUUUUAAUGAGGAUUUAAAGUCGUUGUUCUACCCGUUCGGCUAACGACCCUCCACCGAUCAAGCAAGCGGUGGGUGAGAGUAUACACCCAUUAAGUCGCCAUUUUAUAGGCAACAACCUUAUACCCACCUUAUAGACCGGCUUCGUGAAUGAGGCCUACUAACGGUAAAACGACUUAUUCUUAUACAUAUAUAUAAUAAUUAACCAUUAAUGUUAUAAAUAGUAUAAGGGUUGAAUUUUAACUAUUAAAACUCUAAGGUUUGGAAUUAAAGUUUAUUAAAGUGUGUGAAACUUUACAAAUUCCAAAACUUGAGGACAAGUUUUGUAACUUUGCAAAACUCUUCAUUUCAUAACUUAUGAAUUAAAGGUUCAUAAAAAUGAAGACUCUUCAUUUUCAUGUAACUUAUGUGUUUUAAGUGUGUGUUAAAUGAAAGUGACCUUUGGUAAUCCAUAACUUGAGGACAAAUUAUGGACUCCAUUAAAACACAUAAAUGAUUAAGAAUUAAUUCUAAACAAUUCAGCAAAUAAUUCCUAUCAUUUUCUAAAUUCAUAAGAACAUGAACAUGAUCAUCAAAAAUUCAAGAAUUAUAUGAACACAUAAAAUCAUGGAUUUUUGAUAUAUGCUAUUGUAAAUGGAUUAGAACAACCAUUACACCAACUAAAAUAAGUUUUACAACACCAAAACAAUUUAGGGUAAUGUUUCCAGUCCAUUUCCAGCAGCAAAAGUCGAGAUUCUGCAUUCUUUCGAUCCUACUCGCCGAGUGCACGAACGGACUCGUCGAGUAGGUUGAAGUUUGCCUUGGACUCGGCGAGUCCCCCCAAUGGACUCGGCGAGUCUAGCAUGCAGACAGCAACGAUUUCGACUUUUUUCACUAUUUUGCAUCAAGUAUCAAACAAGCAAGCCUAGGCUCUGAUACCACUGUUGGGUUUUGAGCAAUCUAACACUUCCUAAGUGUGCAUGCAACCCUAAUAAACCUUGGAUCUAUGUUUGUCUAAAUACAUGCAAAAUAAUAAUUUUCCAAGGUUUAUAACCUAUCUAACAUGGCAUGGGGAACAUUUCAACAUAAAAGAGUUAGAAGAGAUUACAUACCUUUGUUGUGUUGGGUUCUUAGGAGUUUGAGGGCCAAGCACCAAUAGUGUGAAUGCCUCAAAUGGAAUCACAAACACCACAAACUCUUGGAAAACUUUGAGAGAGUAUACACACUCUUGUAUUUUCGGCCACACACAUGCACACACACACUAGAACACUAGCUUUCUCUUAGGCUAUCUUAGGCUCUCUUAGGCUCACUUUCAUGCUCCAUAAGCAUGCUUAUAUAGUAUGCAUGGUUAGGGUGAAACCCUAAUAACCCAUGUCUUUUCCUAUUCCAAGGAUCCAUGGGUUAAAAGCUCCAUGGAUCAUCCAUGGACUUCCACAUAAGCCUAGCCCAUUAACAAAUGAGUAUUAGCCCACACUAUAUAAAACAAAUAGCCCAUAAUUUAAUUAGUAUUCUUUUAAUCUCUAAAUUAAUCCAUAAUUAAUUUAAGACUAAAACUAAUUAAAUAACGUAACUUCAUAUUAAUAUAUUAUAACUCAUAAUAUAUUAAUAAACAUAUGUGUAUAACUCUCAUAAAAUUAUCCAUAAUAGUUUGGAUGAGAUGCAACCCAAAUGGACCAUGCCGGUCGGGUCAAGUAUAUACCAAAUAAGUUAUGGACUUAGACACCUUAUCCA
rnacentral:lncRNA from 1 species